UGGGGAAUAUUGCACAAUGGGCGCAAGCCUGAUGCAGCCAUGCCGCGUGUAUGAAGAAGGCCUUCGGGUUGUAAAGUACUUUCAGUCGGGAGGAAGGUGGUAAGGUUAAUAACCUUAUCAAUUGACGUUACCGACAGAAGAAGCACCGGCUAACUCCGUGCCAGCAGCCGCGGUAAUACGGAGGGUGCAAGCGUUAAUCGGAAUUACUGGGCGUAAAGCGCACGCAGGCGGUUGAUUGAGUCAGAUGUGAAAUCCCCGGGCUUAACCCGUGAAUUGCAUCUGGUACUGGUCAGCUAGAGUCUUGUAGAGGGGGGUAGAAUUCCAUGUGUAGCGGUGAAAUGCGUAGAGAUCUGGAGGAAUACCGGUGGCGAAGGCGGCCCACUGGACAAAGACUGACGCUCAGGUGCGAAAGCGUGGGGAGCAAACAGG
rnacentral:rRNA from 1 species